rnacentral:rRNA from 1 species
AGAGUUUGAUCAUGGCUCAGGAUGAACGCUAGCGACAGGCCUAACACAUGCAAGUCGAGGGGCAUCGGGACGUAGCAAUACGUUGCCGGCGACCGGCGGAUGGGUGAGUAACGCGUAUGCAACCUACCCGUAGCAGGGGGAUAGCCCGUUGAAAGACGGAUUAAUACCCCGUAACACAGGGGCUCCGCAUGGAGAUUAUUGUUAAAGGGUCAUUUCUUUUAGAGGUGGUCCGGCUACGGAUGGGCAUGCGUUCCAUUAGGUAGUUGGUGUAGGUAACGGCUCACCAAGCCGACGAUGGAUAGGGGAACUGAGAGGUUGGUCCCCCACACUGGUACUGAGACACGGACCAGACUCCUACGGGAGGCAGCAGUGAGGAAUCUUGGUCAAUGGACGCAAGUCUGAACCAGCCAUGUCGCGUGAAGGAGGACGGCCCUAAGGGUUGUAAACUUCUUUUGCAGCGGAAUAAAGUUUGCCACGAGUUGGCGAUUUGCAAGUACGCUGCGAAUAAGGAUCGGCUAACUCCGUGCCAGCAGCCGCGGUAAUACGGAGGAUCCGGGCGUUAUCCGGAUUUAUUGGGUUUAAAGGGUGCGCAGGCGGGGAUUUAGGUCGGCGGUGAAAUUUCGGGGCUCAACCUCGAUAGUGCCGUUGAAACCGUUUCUCUUGAGUGCGGAUGAGGUAGGCGGAAUUUGUGGUGUAGCGGUGAAAUGCGUAGAUAUCACAAGGAACACCGAUUGCGGAGGCAGCUUACUAAACCGUUACUGACGCUCAUGCACGAAGGCGUGGGGAUCAAACAGGAUUAGAUACCCUGUAGUCCACGCAGUAAACGAUGAUUACUUGCUGUUUGCGAUACACAGUAAGCGGCGAAGCGAAAGCGUUAAGUAAUCCACCUGGGGAGUACGUUCGCAAGAAUGAAACUCAAAGGAAUUGACGGGGCCCGCACAAGCGGA